AGAGUUUGAUCAUGGCUCAGGACGAACGCUGGCGGCGUGCCUAACACAUGCAAGUCGAACGGAGUUGAGUGCUUCGGUAUUCAACUUAGUGGCAAACGGGUGAGUAACGCGUGAGGAACCUGCCUUUCAGUGGGGGACAACAGUUGGAAACGACUGCUAAUACCGCAUGAUACUUUUUGGGGGCAUCCCUGAAAAGUCAAAGAUUUAUUGCUGAAAGAUGGCCUCGCGUCUGAUUAGCUAGUUGGCGGGGUAACGGCCCACCAAGGCGACGAUCAGUAGCCGGUCUGAGAGGAUGAACGGCCACAUUGGGACUGAGAUACGGCCCAGACUCCUACGGGAGGCAGCAGUGGGGAAUAUUGGGCAAUGGGGGAAACCCUGACCCAGCAACGCCGCGUGAAGGAAGAAGGCCCUCGGGUUGUAAACUUCUUUUACCAGGGACGAAGGACGUGACGGUACCUGGAGAAAAAGCAACGGCUAACUACGUGCCAGCAGCCGCGGUAAUACGUAGGUUGCAAGCGUUGUCCGGAUUUACUGGGUGUAAAGGGCGUGUAGGCGGAGCUGCAAGUCAGAUGUGAAAUCCUGGGGCUUAACCCCGGAACUGCAUUUGAAACUGUAGCCCUUGAGUAUCGGAGAGGCAAGCGGAAUUCCUAGUGUAGCGGUGAAAUGCGUAGAUAUUAGGAGGAACACCAGUGGCGAAGGCGGCUUGCUGGACGACAACUGACGCUGAGGCGCGAAAGCGUGGGGAGCAAACAGGAUUAGAUACCCUGGUAGUCCACGCUGUAAACGAUGAAUACUAGGUGUGGGGGGACUGACCCCCUCCGUGCCGCAGUUAACACAAUAAGUAUUCCACCUGGGGAGUACGACCGCAAGGUUGAAACUCAAAGGAAUUGACGGGGGCCCGCACAAGCAGUGGAUUAUGUGGUUUAAUUCGACGCAACGCGAAGAACCUUACCAGGAUUUGACAUCCAACUAACGAAGCAGAGAUGCAUCAGGUGCCCUUCGGGGAAAGUUGAGACAGGUGGUGCAUGGUUGUCGUCAGCUCGUGUCGUGAGAUGUUGGGUUAAGUCCCGCAACGAGCGCAACCCCUAUUGUUAGUUGCUACGAAAGAGCACUCUAGCGAGACUGCCGUUGACAAAACGGAGGAAGGCGGGGACGACGUCAAAUCAUCAUGCCCCUUAUGUCCUGGGCUACACACGUAAUACAAUGGCGGUCAACAGAGGGAAGCAAAGCCGCGAGGUGGAGCAAAUCCCUAAAAGCCGUCUCAGUUCGGAUUGCAGGCUGCAACUCGCCUGCAUGAAGCUGGAAUUGCUAGUAAUCGCGGAUCAGCAUGCCGCGGUGAAUACGUUCCCGGGCCUUGUACACACCGCCCGUCACACCAUGAGAGUCGGGAACACCCGAAGUCCGUAGUCUAACCGCAAGGAGGGCGCGGCCGAAGGUGGGUCCGGUAAUUGGGGUGAAGUCGUAACAAGGUAGCCGUAUCGGAAGGUGCGGCUGGAUCACCUCCUU
rnacentral:rRNA from 1 species